rnacentral:tRNA from 1 species
GGGGCCGUAGUCUAGCUUGGUAGGAUGCCAGCCUGGGGCGCUGGUGAUCCCGGGUUCAAGUCCCGGCGGCCCCACCA